AGAAAGUGACAGAGGGGCUAUGUGUUUGACUUGAAAUCAAACUACGGGGGUUCGAUUCCCUCCUUUCUC
rnacentral:tRNA from 1 species